rnacentral:rRNA from 1 species
GUGCCAGCCGCCGCGGUAACACCGGCAGCCCAAGUGAUGGCCGAUAUUAUUGGGCCUAAAGCGUCCGUAGCUGGCCGCGCAAGUUCGUCGGGAAAUCCACCUGCCCAACAGGUGGGCGUCCGGCGGAAACUGUGUGGCUUGGAACCGGAAGGCUCAGAGGGUACGUCCGGGGUAGGAGUGAAAUCCCGUAAUCCCGGACGGACUACCGAUGGCGAAAGCACUCUGAGAAGACGGCUUCGACAGUGAGGGACGAAAGCCAGGGUCUCCAACCGGAUUAGAUACCCGUGUAGUCC